GAUGAACGCUAGCGACAGGCCUAACACAUGCAAGUCGAGGGGCAGCACAAGGAGCAAUCUGAGGUGGCGACCGGCGCACGGGUGAGUAACACGUAUGCAACCUGCCUGUAAGAGGGGAAUAACCCGGAGAAAUUCGGACUAAUACCGCAUAAUACCACGAGACUGCAUGGGUUUGUGGUUAAACAUUUAUGGCUUACAGAUGGGCAUGCGUAUGAUUAGCUAGUAGGUGAGGUAACGGCUCACCUAGGCAACGAUCAUUAGGGGUUCUGAGAGGAAGGUCCCCCACACUGGUACUGAGACACGGACCAGACUCCUACGGGAGGCAGCAGUGGGGAAUUUUGGACAAUGGGGGCAACCCUGAUCCAGCCAUGCCGCGUGUGUGAAGAAGGCCUUCGGGUUGUAAAGCACUUUUGGCGAGAACGAAACGGCGCUGGUUAAUACCUGGCGCUAAUGACGGUACUCGCAGAAUAAGCACCGGCUAACUACGUGCCAGCCGCCGCGGUAACAC
rnacentral:rRNA from 1 species